rnacentral:rRNA from 1 species
GUUUACGGCCCAUACCAGCCUGGGUACGCCCGAUCUCGUCUGAUCUCGGAAGCUAAGCAGGGUCGGGUCUGGUUAGUACUUGGAUGGGGAGACCGCCUGGGAAUACCAGGUGCUGUAAGCU